rnacentral:rRNA from 1 species
GGCGAACGCUGGCGGCGUGCCUAACACAUGCAAGUCGAGCGAAGUGAUUUCGAAUGAAGUUUUCGGAUGGAUUUUGGAAUUAUCUUAGCGGCGGACGGGUGAGUAACGCGUGAGAAACCUGCCUUUCACAAAGGGAUAGCCUCGGGAAACUGGGAUUAAUACCUUAUGACACUUUAACCUCGCAUGGGGAAUAAGUUAAAGCGUAAAGCGGUGGAAGAUGGUCUCGCGUCCUAUUAGCUAGUUGGUGAGGUAACGGCUCACCAAGGCGACGAUAGGUAGCCGGCCUGAGAGGGUGAACGGCCACACUGGAACUGAGACACGGUCCAGACUCCUACGGGAGGCAGCAGUGGGGAAUAUUGCACAAUGGAGGAAACUCUGAUGCAGCGACGCCGCGUGAAUGAUGAAGGCCUUCGGGUCGUAAAAUUCUGUCCUUGGGGAAGAUAAUGACGGUACCCAAGGAGGAAGCCCCGGCUAACUACGUGCCAGCAGCCGCGGUAAUACGUAGGGGGCGAGCGUUGUCCGGAAUUAUUGGGCGUAAAGGGUUCGCAGGCGGUCUGAUAAGUCAGAUGUGAAAGGCAAUGGCUCAACCAUUGUAAGCAUUUGAAACUGUCAGACUUGAGUUAAGGAGAGG